rnacentral:rRNA from 1 species
CUGGCUCAGAACGAACGCUGGCGGCAGGUCUUAGGCAUGCAAGUCGAACGGGUGAAACAGGGGCUUGCCCUUGUGGAUCUAGUGGCGCACGAGUGAGUAACGCGUGGGAAACUGCCCAUCACUGGGGAAUAACGUUUGGAAACGAACGCUAAUACCGCAUACGCCGGAAACGGGAAAGAUUUAUCGGUGAUGGAUGUGCCCGCGUUGGAUUAGCUUGUUGGUGGGGUAAUGGCCUACCAAGGCGAUGAUCCAUAGCUGGUCUGAGAGGACGAUCAGCCACGCUGGAACUGAGACACGGUCCAGACUCCUACGGGAGGCAGCAGCUAAGAAUAUUGGGCAAUGGAGGCAACUCUGAACCCCAGCCAUGCCGCGUGAAUGAAGAAGGCCUUCGGGUUGUAAAGUUCUUUUAGUCGUGAAGAUGAUGACAGUAGCGACAGAAAAGGCACCGGCUAACUUCGUGCCAGCCGCCGC